AUGGAAAUAAAAAGUGAAACCAAAAUGAUAGAAAAGAUAUACCAUAUAAUCCUAGGUAGAAUAAAGAAACAUAUGUAGCUAUAUUACUAUCAGAAAGUGUAGUCUUUCAGAAAAAAUACCAAAUAUAAGAAGAGAAACACUUGAACAUAAAAAGUGGUAUGUCAGGAAGGUAGAAAUUUUAAAUUCUAUGCACCUAAUAAUAGACACUUAAAAUACAGAAAACAAAAUUUAACGGAAAUAAAAGGAGAAUAAAAAUGCCCUGGUUAUGGUGGAACAUUUUAAUACUCCUUUAAAUAGCUGACUGAACAAGAAGAUAAAAUCUGUAAAGAUAAUGAAAAUUUGAGCAAUGUGAUAAAUAAACUUGUCCUAGUCUUGCAUUUUAUUUCCCCAAGUUGACCUAAUGUGGGUCAUAAGGAAGACUCAGCAAAUUUCAAAAAAUUGAAAUUAUAUGGAAAACGUUCUCUUAGAACAGCAGAAUUCAGCUAGAAAUUAAUACAAAAAAUAAAAUAAAAAAUAAUAAAUAGAAAGUACUGGAGUUUUUGAACAAUAUGCCAUAUAUCUCUAAUAAAUUCAAAGGUCAGAUAAUUCAAAAUAAAAAUAAGAAAAAUGUUAGAUUCAGUGAUAUUGGAAUAUUACAUAUUGAAACAUAUUGGUGGUAGUUAAAGCCCCAGUGAGAAAUUUAUAGUAUUUAUUAGAAAAUAUAUAUUGGAAAAAUAGAGGCUAAAAAUCAGUUAUCUAAGCAUUGUCUCACAAAUCUAGGAAAUAAAAGAGCAAAUUAAAAAAUAGAAAGAAGGCAAAUAUGAAGCUAGUAGCAAAAAUUAAUAAAGCAGAAUUUAAUGCAGAUUAUAAAGAAAGCUAAAAGUUGGUUUUAAAAAUUUAACUGCUAAUUAUCUGGUGGAUUGGCAAAAUAAAAAAUAAUGAGAAUAUUUUGAACACAAUGUAUGCUGAUAAAUUUAAAAUGAUAGAAUGAGAAAAUUCCUAGGAAAACACAUCUUAAUCCUAUUAACACAAGAAAUAAAAAGUGCAAAUAAUACUUUACAUGGAAUAAGUGGAAUCUUCAAUUAAAAAUCUCACAAAGAAAAAUCCUGGACCAGAUGGCUUCACCAGUGAAUUCUACAGUCAUUUAAGGAAGGAAUUAUAUCAACUAACACUUAGUUCUAAAAGACAAUUAAAAAGAAACACUUCUCAGGUUGUUCGAUGAGGUAUAUUCUGAGGUAUAUUCGUUUUCUAUACUGUGUAGCAAAUUACCACAAUCCUUGGGGCUUAAAGCAAUUUAUUUAUUAUCUCAGUUUCUGUGGGUCAGGAGUCUGAGAAUAGCUUACAUGAUCCUCUGGUCAGGAUUUGACCCGGCUGUAAUCAAGGUGUGGGCUAGGCAGCAUUUUGAACUGGAGCUUGGGGGUCCCCUGCCAAGAUCACGUGGUUAUUGGCACACAUGUCUAUUUACACGUGUGUGUGUGUGUGUGUGUACACGUAUACAAGUACAUCCCUAGUGAUGGUUGUGACCUCUCACUACCUUUGCCAUACUCUGUUUAGUUAGAAGCAAAUCUCAGACCCUGCCUUUGCUCAAGGGGCGGGUUUCUAGAAGUGAUGACCGUUGAGGCCACUCUUGGGUCUGUCUGCCACAUGAGGCAAAAAAAUCUUGAAGCAAAGCCUGAAAUAUCAACCUAAAAUCCUAGCUAAUUAAAUGAAGCAGUGCAUAAGGAUAUGACAUCAGGACCUAGGUGGGAUCCAGAAAUACACGGUGGUUUUAUUUUUUAUUUUUGGGGGGGUGAAGGAGGAAAAAAAUAGCUUUAUUGCUUUGCCAGGCAAAGGAGGGUCACAACAGGGUAAUAAUGCCCUAAAGACUGUGCCCCUCCAAGACCAUUUUAACGUUCACAAUUCCGUGAAUGUAAUUUUCCAUGUUAAUUUAAUAGAGAAAAAAAUUCCUAUCAUCAUCCACAUAGAUACAAACUAAAUGUAGAUUUAAAAUUCAGCAUUUUUAUAAUAAUUAUAUAUCGUAUAAUGAUGACAUAAUUUAAUGUCUUAUAAUGAUUUAAUAUCAUUAUAUGUUAUUGAUAUAAUGAUUACCUACAAUGGUAAAAUUUCAAAAUUCUAGGGAUAGAAGUAAACUUUCUUAUUAAUUGUUUAGUCAAUGUCAUUAUUUUAUUCAAAUUUUUAUUGAGCAACUAAUAUUUGCCCAGAGCUCAACUGUUUUCCCUGUUCACACACACUCAUGACAAUGUCUUCCUUGAAAAUACUGCCCAGAGAAGAAUACAUCACUGUGCAGAGAUGGUACUUACCAAAGUACUUACACAUCAAAAGUACACAUAAAGUACUCUAUAUUCAUCAUAAUGUAUAGCUGGAUUUACUUCUACUUAGUAAUAAAUAUUUUCCCCAACCCUUCUAUCUUUAUUUUCUUCCUUUUUAUUUAACCAUAGUAGAUCUUUCAGAUUUUUCUAUAUUUAAUAGCUGGAGAUGUGUCUAACUUUCAAAAUUCAUUUAAUGUAAUUACUCCCUUUUAAUGGCUAGAGCACACAGACUUACUUCUUGGCCAACAAUACUAAAUUAAUGAAAUAAAAGUCUUAAACGAAAUGUGACUUUCACCUCAGUUUGAUUUUUUUUACAGUAUAGAGAAGAUAGAUUAUAAAAGUAACUUGCAUAACAUAUACUUCCUAGACAAUUUGAAACAUGGAAAUUUUGUAAACAUAGAUGUAUUUAUAUGUAAAGUUGUUAUGGGAAAAUUAUUAAAAAAAUAGCAUUACACUCAUAUAGAAAGAUAACCAGCACCAAAAUAAAGAUUUUAAAAGUGAUAUUUUUUGUUUUACCACUCUGUGCAGAACUUUAAUUCUACAAACAAAUCACUGAAAUACAUACAUUGUAAAUGAUAAUUAACUAGAGGUUUGUAUUAGUAUUCUUUUAAAAUAUUGAUAAAUGUUUGGAAUUAUGUUUUCUUUAUUUUAGGUUUAUUAAUUUUGAGACUUAAUGUCUCGCAGCCUAAAAAAUUUCUGGUGUAAAAUAGACUUUACCUGGUAUUGUUUUUAGAGAAUGUAGCUGGUAUUAAGCUAAAGAGUACAGUUGAUACCUUGGUUCAUAUGGUGAGUCAACCUGCCUUCCUGCCUUCUUUCUUUCCCUCUUUAAAAUUUUUGCUUAAGGAUCUAUUUCUUCUGAAGCAAUAAUCAACUGUCUCCAUUGGAUUAUAUGGCAGUCAGUCUUGAUUGGCUUAUCUAAACCAAAUGAUAUUGGAUGGCAUAGCAAACGGAGGAGGAAUACUGUGUCCUAGCCCUUAAGAAAUGUGAUUCAAGGAGUUCCCAUUGCGGCUCAAUGGUAAUGAACCCAGCUAGUAUCCAUGAGGCUCCAGGUUUGAUCCCUGGCCUUUCUUAAUGGGUUAAGGAUCCGGCCUUACCAUGAGUUGUGGCGUAGGUCACAGAUGUGGCUCGGAGGCUGGCAGCUGCAACUCACAUUCGAGCCCUAGCCUGGGAACUUCCAUAUGCUGCAGAUGUGGCCCCAUAAAGUAAAAAAAAAGAAAAAA
rnacentral:lncRNA from 1 species